GGGUUGUGAGGUUAAGCGACUAAGCGUACACGGUGGAUGCCCUGGCAGUCAGAGGCGAUGAAGGACGUGCUAAUCUGCGAAAAGCGUCGGUAAGGUGAUAUGAACCGUUAUAACCGGCGAUGUCCGAAUGGGGAAACCCAGUGCAAUUCGUUGCACUAUCGUUAACUGAAUACAUAGGUUAACGAGGCGAACCGGGGGAACUGAAACAUCUAAGUACCCCGAGGAAAAGAAAUCAACCGAGAUUCCCCCAGUAGCGGCGAGCGAACGGGGAGCAGCCCAGAGUCUGAAUCAGCUUGUGUGUUAGUGGAACGGUCUGGAAAGUCCGACGGUACAGGGUGAUAGUCCCGUACACCAAAAUGCACAGGCUGUGAACUCGAAGAGUAGGGCGGGACACGUGGUAUCCUGUCUGAAUAUGGGGGGACCAUCCUCCAAGGCUAAAUACUCCUGACUGACCGAUAGUGAACCAGUACCGUGAGGGAAAGGCGAAAAGAACCCCGGCGAGGGGAGUGAAAAAGAACCUGAAACCGUGUACGUACAAGCAGUGGGAGCACCUUCGGGUGUGACUGCGUACCUUUUGUAUAAUGGGUCAGCGACUUAUAUUCUGUAGCAAGGUUAACCGUAUAGGGGAGCCGCAGGGAAACCGAGUCUUAACUGGGCGUUAAGUUGCAGGGUAUAGACCCGAAACCCGGUGAUCUAGCCAUGGGCAGGUUGAAGGUUGGGUAACACUAACUGGAGGACCGAACCGACUAAUGUUGAAAAAUUAGCGGAUGACUUGUGGCUGGGGGUGAAAGGCCAAUCAAACCGGGAGAUAGCUGGUUCUCCCCGAAAGCUAUUUAGGUAGCGCCUCGUGAACUCAUCUUCGGGGGUAGAGCACUGUUUCGGCUAGGGGGUCAUCCCGACUUACCAACCCGAUGCAAACUACGAAUACCGAAGAAUGUUAUCACGGGAGACACACGGCGGGUGCUAACGUCCGUCGUGAAGAGGGAAACAACCCAGACCGCCAGCUAAGGUCCCAAAGUCAUGGUUAAGUGGGAAACGAUGUGGGAAGGCACAGACAGCCAGGAUGUUGGCUUAGAAGCAGCCAUCAUUUAAAGAAAGCGUAAUAGCUCACUGGUCGAGUCGGCCUGCGCGGAAGAUGUAACGGGGCUAAACCAUGCACCGAAGCUGCGGCAGCGACACUAUGUGUUGUUGGGUAGGGGAGCGUUCUGUAAGCCUGCGAAGGUGACCUGUGAGGGUUGCUGGAGGUAUCAGAAGUGCGAAUGCUGACAUAAGUAACGAUAAAGCGGGUGAAAAGCCCGCUCGCCGGAAGACCAAGGGUUCCUGUCCAACGUUAAUCGGGGCAGGGUGAGUCGACCCCUAAGGCGAGGCCGAAAGGCGUAGUCGAUGGGAAACAGGUUAAUAUUCCUGUACUUGGUGUUACUGCGAAGGGGGGACGGAGAAGGCUAUGUUAGCCGGGCGACGGUUGUCCCGGUUUAAGCAUGUAGGCUGGUUGUCCAGGCAAAUCCGGAUAAUCAAGGCUGAGGUGUGAUGACGAGGCACUACGGUGCUGAAGUAACAAAUGCCCUGCUUCCAGGAAAAGCCUCUAAGCAUCAGGUAACAUCAAAUCGUACCCCAAACCGACACAGGUGGUCAGGUAGAGAAUACCAAGGCGCUUGAGAGAACUCGGGUGAAGGAACUAGGCAAAAUGGUGCCGUAACUUCGGGAGAAGGCACGCUGGUGUGUAGGUGAAGCCCCUGCGGGUGGAGCUGAGACCAGUCGAAGAUACCAGCUGGCUGCAACUGUUUAUUAAAAACACAGCACUGUGCAAACACGAAAGUGGACGUAUACGGUGUGACGCCUGCCCGGUGCCGGAAGGUUAAUUGAUGGGGUUAUCCGUAAGGAGAAGCUCUUGAUCGAAGCCCCGGUAAACGGCGGCCGUAACUAUAACGGUCCUAAGGUAGCGAAAUUCCUUGUCGGGUAAGUUCCGACCUGCACGAAUGGCGUAAUGAUGGCCAGGCUGUCUCCACCCGAGACUCAGUGAAAUUGAACUCGCUGUGAAGAUGCAGUGUACCCGCGGCAAGACGGAAAGACCCCGUGAACCUUUACUAUAGCUUGACACUGAACAUUGAGCCUUGAUGUGUAGGAUAGGUGGGAGGCUUUGAAGCGUGGACGCCAGUCUGCGUGGAGCCAACCUUGAAAUACCACCCUUUAAUGUUUGAUGUUCUAACGUUGGCCCCUUACCGGGGUUGCGGACAGUGUCUGGUGGGUAGUUUGACUGGGGCGGUCUCCUCCCAAAGCGUAACGGAGGAGCACGAAGGUUAGCUAAUCCUGGUCGGACAUCAGGAGGUUAGUGCAAUGGCAUAAGCUAGCUUGACUGCGAGCGUGACGGCGCGAGCAGGUGCGAAAGCAGGUCAUAGUGAUCCGGUGGUUCUGAAUGGAAGGGCCAUCGCUCAACGGAUAAAAGGUACUCCGGGGAUAACAGGCUGAUACCGCCCAAGAGUUCAUAUCGACGGCGGUGUUUGGCACCUCGAUGUCGGCUCAUCACAUCCUGGGGCUGAAGUAGGUCCCAAGGGUAUGGCUGUUCGCCAUUUAAAGUGGUACGCGAGCUGGGUUUAGAACGUCGUGAGACAGUUCGGUCCCUAUCUGCCGUGGGCGCUGGAGAAUUGAGGGGGGCUGCUCCUAGUACGAGAGGACCGGAGUGGACGCAUCACUGGUGUUCGGGUUGUCAUGCCAAUGGCACUGCCCGGUAGCUAAAUGCGGAAGAGAUAAGUGCUGAAAGCAUCUAAGCACGAAACUUGCCCCGAGAUGAGUUCUCCCUGAGACUUUAAGUCUCCUGAAGGAACGUUAAAGACGAUGACGUUGAUAGGCCGGGUGUGUAAGCGCAGCGAUGCGUUGAGCUAACCGGUACUAAUGAACCGUGAGGCUUAACCUUACAACGCCGAAG
rnacentral:rRNA from 1 species